UCUCCAGAAAGAUCUGUUGGAAAGGUGAUCUUGACCAACCUCUUCCACAAAUGCAUUUAAAACCCAUUGCUUCUCAUGAAGGUUACAUGCAAAAACAUCUACAGGAACAAAGAAUGUGAAUCUUAAUUACUGACUAUUGCGGAGCUCUCUACUCAUAUGAAGGGACUUUGAAAACCUGACCACUAAUUGCCGAUUACCUUCAACUUACUGGUGUGAUCCUGUCACAAAGGCAGAAGGAUAAACUGUGUUUCAAGGAGGUAUUUCAGAAGCUCUGUGGAAGAAUGCUACCACAGGAUUGGACAAUCCACACCAAGAAAGAGACAGCAUUUCCUCUUCUUUCCUCAUCUCAUCCUGUGAGAUUUUUCAUUAAGGUGAAGUUCCGCCAUCACAGAGGAAGUAAUAUUGCAACGAUUAACAUCACUGCUUUAUGUGUUCUUUUGAGGAUAAAGGAGAAUAUGGAUGGGCUGCUUAUCCCUCGAUGAAGGCAGGCACCAUAACGUUUUAACUGUAACACAGAUGCUCCUGAGAGGUUAAGACUUUUAAAAUCAUAUACGUAUAUUCAUAACAUUUAUGUGUGUGUCAAUUCAGUCUUUGCGUUACAAAACGGAAUGCAAUCAAAUAUGAGAGAGGUGGAAUAACACAAUAGGAUAAACAAUGUUGGCUGGUGGGGAAACAGGUAAAUGGAAACUGUUUGAACAGCAAAAUCUCCAAGACUUUCAUCAUCUCCCCUCUACACAAAGGGCAAGUCAAAGCUUAUGACAGGCACAGUGUGGAAUUACCCUUACAUGAUGCUCAGCUUUAUUUUAAAGUUGUUUGUUAAAAUCACCAUGACAGUUCUGUAUAGAGAAAUGAGUGCAACUGCCUUUUUGAAGGUUUGACCCUGAAAUAAAUGGGAAAGACUGGGCAAACACUGCUGUGAACUGCAAAACAUGAAAGGUAAAAAAAUCUGUAGGUCCUCAGGUGUGACAGCACAACAAUGCUAUAUCUAUGUAGAUGGAAGGAGAAUCUGAGAACAGCAGGCUAUGCUGGGUGCUGAAUGGCAUAAAGCAGCUGGAUAGAUAUUCUGGAGUCCCACAGUGGUGGGAAUUUUCCUAGGAGAAAACAGAAUAGCAUGUCUAUCACAGCCCCACUGAAAUGAGAACAAUUCAAUGCUCUCUUUCACUACUCCAUUCUCUAUUCCACGAAGCAUGUUUUUAAUGCAAGAUUGAAAAAGGAGAGCCUGUCCCAUUGAAACAGACCUCAUGUCAUAUCCACAUAAGCUCCGUACUUUUUUUGUGAUCUUUUGCCGUUGUUUGAAACUUCCAGUC